GAUGAACGCUAGCGGCAGGCCUAACACAUGCAAGUCGAGGGAGAAGCCCUUUCGGGGGCAGAAACCGGCGCACGGGUGCGUAACGCGUAUGCAACCUACCUUUCACAGGGGGAUAGCCCGAAGAAAUUUGGAUUAAUACCCCAUAAUAUUAUUUGAUGGCAUCAUUUGAUAAUUAAAACUGCGGUGGUGAAAGAUGGGCAUGCGUCCUAUUAGCUAGUUGGAGUGGUAACGGCACCCCAAGGCUACGAUAGGUAGGGGUCCUGAGAGGGAGAUCCCCCACACUGGUACUGAGACAGGGACCAGACUCCUACGGGAGGCAGCAGUGAGGAAUAUUGGUCAAUGGUCGGAAGACUGAACCAGCCAUGCCGCGUGCAGGAAGAAUGCCUUAUGGGUUGUAAACUGCUUUUAUAUGGGAAGAAUAAGGUGUACGUGUACAUUGAUGACGGUACCAUAUGAAUAAGCAUCGGCUAACUCCGUG
rnacentral:rRNA from 1 species